rnacentral:ncRNA from 1 species
CAAAAAGGGGAGCUUUGAAGAGGCUGAGAGUAAGCAAAACUAUGCUUAGACCCGUGACCUGAUUCGGAUAAUGCCGACGUAGGGAUAUACAGG